UACAGAGGGGCAAGCGUUGUUCGGAAUUACUGGGCGUAAAGGGCGCGUAGGUGGCCUUCUAAGUUGAACGUGAAAUCCCUGGGCUCAACCCAGGAACUGCGUCCAAGACUGGGAGGCUUGAAUCCGGGAGAGGGAUGCGGAAUCCAGGUGUAGCGGUGAAAUGCGUAGAUAUCUGGAGGAACACCGGUGGCGAAGGCGGCAUCCUGGACCGGUAUUGACACUGAGGCGCGAAAGCCAGG
rnacentral:rRNA from 1 species